rnacentral:rRNA from 1 species
CAACGCGCAGAACCAUACCAGCGUUUGACAUGUCCGGACGAUUUCCAGAGAUGGAUCUCUUCCCUUCGGGGACUGGAACACAGGUGCUGCAUGGCUGUCGUCAGCUCGUGUCGUGAGAUGUUGGGUUAAGUCCCGCAACGAGCGCAACCCUCGUCCUUAGUUGCCAUCAUUCAGUUGGGCACUCUAAGGAAACCGCCGGUGAUAAGCCGGAGGAAGGUGGGGAUGACGUCAAGUCCUCAUGGCCCUUACGCGCUGGGCUACACACGUGCUACAAUGGCGGUGACAGUGGGCAGCAAUCCCGCAAGGGUGAGCUAAUCUCCAAAAGCCGUCUCAGUUCGGAUUGUUCUCUGCAACUCGAGAGCAUGAAGGCGGAAUCGCUAGUAAUCGCGGAUCAGCACGCCGCGGUGAAUACGUUCCCAGGCCU